rnacentral:lncRNA from 1 species
GCCAAAUUGGUCAAUGGCCAAGUGGCAAGCAUCCACGCAUAAGCAAAGGAGCAAACAUGGAAAAAUUCCUAAAGGAAGCAAGCCAUAACAAGUAUCAUUCAUCCAGUGCAAGAGCAAGCAUGGAAAGGCCCCUCGAAGAUGGAAUGAAGCAUGGACGGCCAAGAUGCAAUAAGCCGCAUGAUCCAAGGAGCACAAGAAGACACGUCAUCAAUCUGCGGGAGGAGAGUUUG